AGGAUAUGGACCUCGGUCGCGAAGUGUCCGAUACGCCUCGAUGAUGAACAUGGCCUCGUUGCUUCCCUUUGACAGCCCAUAUUGCUUGUUCAAUUGACUGAGGUUGUUCAGAUUUCCCAGGAAAGCACAAUAAAUGUUGUCCAAACCACUAAACAACCUAUGUGACACAUGAAAAAAAAAAUGUGUUAGCAAUAGAAUUCAAUAAACAUAUAUCUAUGAUCUAAGAUAUAAGCACUUUUACUCUUUUUGGAAAUUUCAUUCCUAAAAUACCCUCAUACCUUUGAUAAAUGGAGGGUGUGUUUGAAGGGGAAUAAGCCAAUAAAGCAUCAUUUCCAAAUGUCAUGAAAAAAGCAUUAGAGGAAUUGCAUGACAUGAAAUCUCUAAGAAUUUCAUGAC
rnacentral:lncRNA from 1 species